GCAGCAGACCGUGACAAUCCCUUCGGGGUGCGUUUGGUGCUGGCGAGUGGCGGACGGGUGAGUAACACGUAGGAAUCUGCCCAACAGUGGGGGACAACCCGAGGAAACUCGGGCUAAUACCGCAUACGCCCUACGGGGGAAAGCGGGGGACUUUCGGGCCUCGCGCUGAUGGAUGAGCCUGCGUCGGAUUAGCUUGUUGGUGAGGUACCGGCUCACCAAGGCGACGAUCCGUAGCUGGUCUGAGAGGAUGACCAGCCACACUGGGACUGAGACACGGCCCAGACUCCUACGGGAGGCAGCAGUGGGGAAUAUUGCACAAUGGGCGAAAGCCUGAUGCAGCCAUACCGCGUGGGUGAAGAAGGCCUUAGGGUUGUAAAGCCCUUUCAGUUGGGAAGAAAAGGUUAGGGAUAAUACCCCUGGUUCUUGACGGUACCUACAGAAGAAGCACCGGCUAACUCAGUGCCAGCAGCCGCGGUAAUACUGAGGGUGCAAGCGUUAAUCGGAAUUACUGGGCGUAAAGCGCGCGUAGGCGGUCUGGUCAGUCAGAUGUGAAAGCCCCGGGCUUAACCUGGGAACUGCGUUUGAAACUGCCAGACUAGAGUGUGGUAGAGGGAAGUGGAAUUCCGCGUGGAGCGGUGAAAUGCGUAGAGAUGCGGAGGAACACCAGUGGCGAAGGCGACUUCCUGGACCAACACUGACGCUCAGGUGCGAAAGCGUGGGGAGCAAACAGGAUUAGAUACCCUG
rnacentral:rRNA from 1 species